rnacentral:lncRNA from 1 species
GCUCUGCGGCAGCGUGCGACAUGAGGCGACCGCGCGGCCUGGGCAACGGCGGUGGUUCCUGAGCCCGGGAUGGAGGAGAAAUACGGCGCGGACGCGCUGGCCGGGCCCCGGCGGUGGCGGCCUCGGGCCGGUGGACGUGCCCAGCGCUCGAUUAACGAAAUAUAUUGUGUUACUCUGUUUCACUAAAUGUUUGAAAGCUGUGGGACUUUUUGAAUCAUAUGAUCUCCUAAAGACUGUUCACGUUGUUCAGUUCAUUUUCAUAUUAAAACUUGGGACUGCAUUUUUUAUGGUUUUGUUUCAAAAGCCAUUUUCUUCUGGGAAGACUAUUACCAAACACCAGUGGAUCAAAAUAUUUAAACAUGCAGUUGCUGGGUGUGUCAUUUCACUCUUGUGGUUUUUUGGCCUUACUCUUUGUGGACCAUUAAGGACUCUGCUGUUAUUUGAACACAGUGACAUUGUUGUCAUCUCAUUACUCAGUGUUUUGUUCACUAGUUCUGGAGGAGGACCAGCAAAGACCAGGGGAGCUGCUUUUUUCAUUAUUGCUGUGAUCUGUUUAUUGCUUUUCGACAAUGAUGAUCUCCUGGCUAAAAUGGCUGAGCACCCUGAAGGACAUCAUGACAGUGCUCUAACUCACAUGCUUUACACAGCAAUUGCCUUCUUAGGUGUGGCAGAUCACAAGGGUGGAGUACUGUUGCUAGUACUGGCUUUGUGUUGUAAAGUUGGUCUUCAUGCAACUUCCAGAAAGCUCUCUACAGAUGUUGGUGGAGCCAAACUGCUUCAGGCUUUAUCCCAGGUGGUUUCUGUGCUUCUCUUGUGCCCAUGGGUCAUAGUUCUUUCUGUGACAAAGGAGAGUAAAGUUGAAUCUUGGUUUUCUCUCAUUAUGCCUUUCACAACGGUUAUCUUUUUUGUUAUGAUCCUGGAUUUCUAUGUGGAUUCCAUUUGUUCAGUCAAAAUGGAAGUUUCUAAAUGUGCCCGCUAUGGAUCCUUUCCCAUACUUACUAGUGCUCUCCUCUUGGGAAAUUUUUGGACAGACCCAAUAACAGACCAGCUUCGGACUAUGAACAGAGCCACACACCAGGAGAGCACGGAACAUGCCCUGUCUGGAGGAGUGGUCGUGAGUGCUGUGUUCUUCGUUUUGUCUGCCAACAUCUUAUCGUCUCCCUCUAAGAGAGGACAGAAAGGUUUAUUAAGGAAUCACUAAAACAGAUUCUUGAGGAGAGUGACUCUAGGCAGAUCUUUUACUUCCUGUGCUUGAAUCUGGUAAGACUUUUAAGUAUUCGUGGCAUAUCUUAAAAGAUCAAUAUUUUGAUUUUGACAGAAUGACAUCAUUUUAGUACUUCACAAAUUUCUGUUAGAAACAGACUAAAAUUUAUAUUUUCUCUUAAGUAUUUGUCAAGAUCACAGCACCAUAUUCGACUACUUAAACAAGAUACUAUGGAAUCGUUCAGUAUGCUAUUUUGAGUCCAUAAAUAAAGUAGCUUUUCAGAUUUUUAUCUCCUUAUACGAUGUCACUACAGACCACUGAUAGAUAACAUUUUAGCGCCUCGUUUAUUGGUUUUUGCAGAUAUAAAUAAAGCUACCAUGCCUCCUUUUAAACAGCUUAUAAAAUGAAUAUAUCUGGUUUAGCAUAGUUUCUUACAAUUUAUAUAAAAUGAGGUUUCUAGUAUAAAUGGAAUUAACUAAAGCAGACUUUGAGUAGAUCUUCCAAGAAGGUUUUGGUAAUUAAAGGUUAAAAUCCUCAUGAUUAAAUUCUGAUAAAUCUUAAAUCUCUGUUGUAAUGUAUUCCCCAACAUCCUCCUCUAAUACUGUUUUUAAACAUUUUUUAGCUCUUUACCUUUGUGGAAUUAUUCUAUGGUGUGUUGACGAAUAGUCUUGGUCUGACCUCAGAUGGAUUCCACAUGCUCUUUGAUUGCUCUGCUUUGGUCAUGGGACUUUUUGCUGCUCUGAUGAGUCAAUGGAAAGCAACUCGGAUUUUCUCCUAUGGGUAUGGCCGAAUAGAAAUUCUCUCUGGAUUCAUUAAUGGACUUUUUCUAAUAGUAAGAGCUUUUUUUGUGUUUAUGGAGUCAGUGGCUAGACUGAUUGAUCCUCUGGAAUUAGAUACAAACAUGUUGACACCAGUCUCAGUUGGAGGGCUGAUUGUAAACCUUAUUGAAAUCUGUGCCUUUAGCCAGGCCCACAGUCACAGCCAUGGACCUUCUCAAGGAGGCUGUCACUCAUCUGAUCAUAGCCAUUCACACCACACGCAUGGACACAGUGACCAUGGGCACGGUCAUAGUCACGGAUUCUUAGGUGGAGGCAUGAAUGCUAACAUGAGGGGUGUAUUUCUACAUGUUUUGGCAGACACACUUGGCAGUAUUGGUGUGAUCGUGUCUACAAUUCUGAUAGAGCAGUUCGGGUGGUUCAUUGCAGAUCCCCUCUGUUCUCUUUUUAUCGCUGUAUUAAUAUUUCUCAGUGUUGUCCCACUGAUUAAAGAUGCUUGUCAAGUUCUGCUUCUAAGACUGCCACCAGAACAUGAGAAAGAACUACACAUUGCUUUAGAAAAGAUACAGAAAAUUGAAGGAUUAAUAUAAUACCGAGACCCUCAUUUUUGGUGUCAUUCUGCCAGUAUUGUGGCAGGAACAAUUCAUAUACAGGUGGCAUCUGAUGUGCUGGAACAAAUAAUAGUACAGCAGGUUACAGGAAUAGUUAAAGAUGCUGGAAUAAACA